UACGGAGGGGGCUAACGUUGUUCGGAAUUACUGGGCGUAAAGCGCGCGUAGGCGGACCUGCAAGUCGGGGGUGAAAGCCCCAAGCUCAACCUGGGAACUGCCUUCGAUACUGCGGGUCUCGAGUCCGGGAGAGGUGAGUGGAAUUCCUAGUGUAGAGGUGAAAUUCGUAGAUAUUAGGAAGAACACCAGUGGCGAAGGCGGCGCACUGGCCCGGUUCUGACGCUGAGGUGCGAAAGCGUGGGGAGCAAACGGG
rnacentral:rRNA from 1 species